UUUAAAUCUAAGGCUCAGCCUUGCGUUGACCAUCCCCGGCGGGGCGGUCGAAAAACAUGAAGACUCCAAAGCGGAAGCAGUACGCAAAAGUAUUGGCGACCUCCCAAAAAGUCUUAAUCACGAAAC
rnacentral:misc_RNA from 1 species